rnacentral:rRNA from 1 species
AUUGAACGCUGGCGGCAGGCCUAACACAUGCAAGUCGAACGCGUGGCGGACGGGUGAGUCAUGUCUGGGACCCUGCCUGAUGGCGGGGGAUACCUACUGGAACCGGUACCUAAUACCGCAUACCAUCAGAUGUGCCCAUAUGGGAUUAGCUAGUGGGUGGGGUAACGGCUCACCAAGGCGACGAUCCCUAGCUGGUCUGAGAGGAUGACCAGCCACACUGGAACUGAGACACGGUCCAGACUCCUACGGGAGGCAGCAGUGGGGAAUAUUGCACAAUGGGCGAAAGCCUGAUACAGCCAUGCCGCGUGUAUGAAGAAGGCCUUCGGGUUGUAAAGUACUUUCAGCGGGGAGGCGUUACCCGCAGAAGAAGCACCGGCUAACUCCGUGCCAGCAGCCGCGGUAAUAC